rnacentral:rRNA from 1 species
UGGGGAAUAUUGGACAAUGGGCGCAAGCCUGAUCCAGCCAUGCCGCGUGAGUGAUGAAGGCCCUAGGGUUGUAAAGCUCUUUCACCGGUGAAGAUAAUGACGGUAACCGGAGAAGAAGCCCCGGCUAACUUCGUGCCAGCAGCCGCGGUAAUACGAAGGGGGCUAGCGUUGUUCGGAUUUACUGGGCGUAAAGCGCACGUAGGCGGACUUUUAAGUCAGGGGUGAAAUCCCGGGGCUCAACCCCGGAACUGCCUUUGAUACUGGAAGUCUUGAGUAUGGUAGAGGUGAGUGGAAUUCCGAGUGUAGAAGUGAAAUUCGUAGAUAUUCGGAGAAACACCAGUGGCGAAGGCGGCUCACUGGACCAUUACUGACGCUGAGGUGCGAAAGCGUAGGGAGCAAACAGG